rnacentral:rRNA from 1 species
AUGCACGCUGGCGGCGUGCCUAAUACAUGCAAGUCGAGCGAACAGACGAGGAGCUUGCUCCUCUGACGUUAGCGGCGGACGGGUGAGUAACACGUGGAUAACCUACCUAUAAGACUGGGAUAACUUCGGGAAACCGGAGCUAAUACCGGAUAAUAUAUUGAACCGCAUGGUUCAAUAGUGAAAGACGGUUUUGCUGUCACUUAUAGAUGGAUCCGCGCCGCAUUAGCUAGUUGGUAAGGUAACGGCUUACCAAGGCAACGAUGCGUAGCCGACCUGAGAGGGUGAUCGGCCACACUGGAACUGAGACACGGUCCAGACUCCUACGGGAGGCAGCAGUAGGGAAUCUUCCGCAAUGGGCGAAAGCCUGACGGAGCAACGCCGCGUGAGUGAUGAAGGUCUUCGGAUCGUAAAACUCUGUUAUUAGGGAAGAACAAAUGUGUAAGUAACUAUGCACGUCUCGACGGUACCUAAUCAGAAAGCCACGGCUAACUACGUG